GACGAACGCUGGCGGCGUGCUUAACACAUGCAAGUCGAACGGAAAGGCCCUGCUUUUGUGGGGUGCUCGAGUGGCGAACGGGUGAGUAACACGUGAGUAACCUGCCCUUGACUUUGGGAUAACUUCAGGAAACUGGGGCUAAUACCGGAUAGGAGCUCCUGCUGCAUGGUGGGGGUUGGAAAGUUUCGGCGGUUGGGGAUGGACUCGCGGCUUAUCAGCUUGUUGGUGGGGUAGUGGCUUACCAAGGCUUUGACGGGUAGCCGACCUGAGAGGGUGACCGGCCACAUUGGGACUGAAAUACGGCCCAGACUCCUACGGGAGGCAGCAGUGGGGAAUAUUGCACAAUGGGCGGAAGCCUGAUGCAGCAACGCCGCGUGCGGGAUGACGGCCUUCGGGUUGUAAACCGCUUUCGCCUGUGACGAAGCGUGAGUGACGGUAAUGGGUAAAGAAGCACCGGCUAACUACGUG
rnacentral:rRNA from 1 species